AAUUUGAGGGGGGCCCGGCACAAGCGGUGAGCAUGUGGUUUAAUUCGGACGCAAANGAGAAGANCUUUACCAAGGUUUUAAACUGACUUGGACAGUUGCAGAGAUGUACCCUUCCCUUUUUAGGGACUGGGUCAGAGGUGCUGCAUGGCUGUCGUCAGCUCGUGUCGUGANAUGUUGGGUUAAGUCCCGCAACGAGCGCAACCCUUGCCCGNAGUUGCCAUCAGGUUAUGCUGGGCACUCUACGGGGACUGUCGGCNAAAAGCCGGAGGAAGGUGGGGAUGACGUCAAGUCCUCAUGGCCUUUAUGCCUCGGGCUACACACGUGCUACAAUGGGCGGUACAAAGGGCAGCCAACUCGCAAGAGUGAGCGAAUCCCAAAAAGCCGUUCACAGUUCGGAUUGCAGUCUGCAACUCGACUGCAUGAAGUUGGAAUCGNUAGUAAUCGCGGAUCAGCAUGCCGCGGUGAAUACGUUCCCGGGCCUUGUACACACCGCCCGUCACAUCACGGAAGUGGGCUGUACUAGAAGUCGCUGGGCUAACCUUCUUCGGGAGNAGGCAAGCGCCGACGGUAUGGUUCAUGAANGGGGUGAAGUCGUAACAAGGUAGCCG
rnacentral:rRNA from 1 species